CGUAGGGACCGAGCGUUGUCCGGAUUCAUUGGGCGUAAAGAGCUCGUAGGCGGCCACUCAAGUCGAAUGUGAAACCUCGAGGCUUAACCUCGAGCCUGCAUUCGAUACUGGGCGGCUAGAGUCUGGUAGGGGGAUCUGGAAUUCCUGGUGUAGCGGUGGAAUGCGCAGAUAUCAGGAGGAACACCGGUGGCGAAGGCGGGAUCCUGGGCCAGUACUGACGCUGAGGAGCGAAAGCGUGGGGAGCAAACAGGAUUAGAUACCCUGGUAGUCCACGCCGUAAACGAUGGGCGCUGGGUGUGGGAGGUCAUCGACUCCUUCCGUGCCGCAGCUAACGCAUUAAGCGCCCCGCCUGGGGAGUACGGCCGCAAGGCUA
rnacentral:rRNA from 1 species